rnacentral:rRNA from 1 species
UAACGUAGCGAAAGUUACGCUAAUACCGCAUAUUCUGUGAGCAGGAAAGCAGGGGAUCGCAAGACCUUGCGCUGAUUGAGCGGCCGAUAUCAGAUUAGCUAGUUGGUGAGGUAAAGGCUCACCAAGGCGACGAUCUGUAGCGGGUCUGAGAGGAUGAUCCGCCACACUGGAACUGAGACACGGUCCAGACUCCUACGGGAGGCAGCAGUGGGGAAUUUUGGACAAUGGGCGCAAGCCUGAUCCAGCCAUGCCGCGUGAGUGAAGAAGGCCUUCGGGUUGUAAAGCUCUUUCGGCCGGGAAGAAAUCGCACAGGUUAAUACCCUGUGUGGAUGACGGUACCGGAAUAAGAAGCACCGGCUAACUACGUG